CCUUCGAUAGCUCAGUUGGUAGAGCGGAGGACUGUAGUGGNAUUUCCGUCUUUCAAGAUAUCCUUAGGUCGCUGGUUCGAAUCCGGCUCGAAGGA
rnacentral:tRNA from 1 species